AAGACCUUGCGCUUUUGGAGCGGCCGAUGUCUGAUUAGCUUGUUGGUGAGGUAAAAGCUUACCAAGGCUUCGAUCAGUAGCUGGUCUGAGAGGACGGCCAGCCACACUGGGACUGAGACACGGCCCAGACUCCUACGGGAGGCAGCAGUGGGGAAUUUUGGACAAUGGGGGCAACCCUGAUCCAGCCAUGCCGCGUGAGUGAAGAAGGCCUUCGGGUUGUAAAGCUCUUUCAGCCGGAACGAAACGGUUACGGUUAAUACCCGUGAUUACUGACGGUACCGGAAGAAGAAGCACCGGCUAACUACGUGCCAGCAGCCGCGGUAAUACGUAGGGUGCGAGCGUUAAUCGGAAUUACUGGGCGUAAAGGGUGCGCAGGCGGUUUUGUAAGUCAGAUGUGAAAUCCCCGGGCUUAACCUGGGAACU
rnacentral:rRNA from 1 species